UAUCUGCUCGUGGCUUCCGACACGCUUUUCUCCGAAAACAAAACCAGAUCACGAAUGAACAUUUGUAGGCUAACAGCUGUUAGAUCCGUAGUCAAAUUGUUAUCAGUUACUCUCAACCCUACGCAUAUUAACCGCAUCAGGUGUUCGCCUUUGAUUUCUUUGCUCACAAGUCACACAUUCGUCCAAGUUAGAAGCAUGUCGGUAACCGGUAACCUGUUGUCCUGGAAAAUAACAGCAGACGAUAUAAAGACAUCUGCCGACGAACUCAUUGUAAAAACAAAAGCUGCGUACGAUACAGUUGGGCUGUUGAAACCGGAAGAAGUCAAUUAUAGGAACGUUGUUAAGGCACUUGCAGACAAUGAUUGCCAGUACUCAGUGAAGAGGAAUAACCUGGACUUUGUGCAACAUGUGUAUGCAGAUAAAGCACUCCGAGAUGUCAGCGUGGAGGCAGAUAAGAAACUGUCCGAAUUUGAAGUAGAAAUGAGCAUGAGACAGGAUGUUUUUGAUGCCAUUGUGGCAUUCCAGAAGAACAACAAAGCUGAUAUAUCUCCAGAAGCUAAGCGAUACGUAGAAAGGCUCAUCAAAUUGGGCAAGAGGAAUGGUCUCCAUCUUCCCAAGAAUGUUCAGAACCGCAUCAAAGAGCUGAAGAAGAGAAUGAGUGACCUGGGAAUCGACUUCAGCAAAAAUCUCAAUGAGGAGAACACCAUUUUGGAGUUCACAGAGGAGGAGCUAGUCGGGCUGCCUGGUGACUUCCUGAAAGCCUUAGAGAAGACUGAGAGUGGGCAGUACAAGGUGUCACUCAAGUACCCCCACUAUUUCCCAUGCAUGAAGAAAGCCAGGAACCCAGACACAAGGAGGAAGAUGGAAACAGCAUUUAAUUCCAGAUGUUUGAAGGAGAACACACCUAUCCUGGAGGAGCUCGUCAAGCUGAGACACGAGAAAGCCCAACUCCUUGGCUUCCCAACCCACUCUGCCUUCAUCCUUGACAUGCGUAUGGCCAAGACACCAGAGGCUGUCGACACAUUCCUUAAAGAUCUCACAGAAAAACUUCAGCUUCUCCGCAAAGAGGAGAUGGAGGACUUCCUUCGUUUCAAGAAAGAAGAGUGUGAGACAUAUGGCUAUGAAAAUGAUGGCAAGGUUAACUACUGGGAUUUCCGCUACUAUAUGACCAUGUCUGAGGAGAAGAAGUAUGCAGUGGACCACAACAGGCUGAAGGAGUACUUCCCCAUGGAGAAGGUCACCAAGGGCCUCCUGGAAAUAUACCAGGAACUACUAGGACUAAAGUUUUCACAAAUCAAAGAUGCCGAAGUCUGGUUUGAAGAUGUCACCAUGUACAGUGUGACGGACGCCAAGUCAGAGGAACUGCUGGGCUACUUCUACCUGGACCUCUACCCUCGCGAAGGCAAAUAUGGCCAUGCUGCUUGCUUUGGUCUGCAGCCUGGUUGUGUCCUGCCGGACGGAUCUCGCCAGAUAUCUAUAGCUGCCAUGGUGGCCAACUUCACCAAGUCCACCGCCGACCAGCCGUCUCUCCUGACUCAUGAUGAGGUUGAGACAUAUUUCCAUGAGUUUGGCCAUGUCAUGCAUCAGAUCUGUGCACGGGCAGACUUUGCUUUGUUCAGUGGCACCCAUGUGGAGCGCGACUUCGUGGAGGCGCCAUCCCAGAUGCUGGAGAACUGGUGCUGGGAGCGAGAACCUUUGUGUCGCAUGUCCGGCCACUACAAGGACGGCAAGGCCAUUCCAGAUGACCUGCUGGAGAAACUCACCAAGAGCAGGAUUGCCAAUGCUGGUGUCUUCAACCUCCGUCAAAUUCUCCUGGGGACGUUCGACCAGACCAUACACACGAAGCCUGAGGCCGACACAGCCAAGAUAUUCUUUGAGCUGUCUGAGAAGAUUCUGGGCAUCGUCCCGACUCCAGGAACCAACAUGCCGGCUGCCUUCGGUCAUCUGGCCGGAGGGUAUGAUGCUCAAUAUUAUGGCUAUCUGUGGAGUGAGGUGUUCUGCAUGGACUCCUAAAUGUGUUCACCUUGUGUCUGUAUAAGUGAGGGCGUGUUCCAUGGUUCAGUGGAGUGAGGUGUUCUGCAUGGACUCCUGUAUGUGUUCACCAUGUGUCUGUAUAAGUGAGGGUGUGUUCCAUGUUUCAGUGGAGUGAGGUGUUCUGCAUGGACAUGUUCUACUCACGGUUCCGGAAAGAGGGGAUCAUGAAUCCGGCUGUCGGCAACAGCUACAGAAACUGCAUCCUUGCACCAGGGGGAUCUGUGGAUGGGGCAGACAUGCUGAAGAACUUCCUGGG
rnacentral:misc_RNA from 1 species